UAGUUGCAUUAAGCCAACCACAAUACUUGCAGCUGGAGGAGUGUGGACCGACCACAUUGCUGUGUUAGCAGUAACGUCCUUUCACAGCCACACAUCAGCGCAACGUUUUGAGGUGCACACUCGGCAUUUCAGCUCAGCACCUCACUUUGCUACUGUGCACAGGUAUUACAAAUGGCUUGCUUCAGGAGGAGAUGAAUCAUGUCCUAAAUAUUGACUCUGCGGACUUGAUAAGCAUUGACUGUAAGGGAGUGUAGGCUGCCUAGCUAAUGUAAAUGUCUGCAUUUACUCAGUACCACGUUUGGAGAGGUGACAUUAACUGCUCAGGCUGCAGAAGGCUGAAGAGCAGACUGAGGACUUCGAUGUCAAGGAUGGAGGCUGCUGAGAAAUAUUUGCUUUUAACAAUUCUGGUCGCCAUUGCUUUACAUGAUCAUCUUGAGAGAAAGGGAGGGAGCUUUACAGAUGGAAAGGAGGUGGAGACUGGAGGUGGACGUGGGCAGACUUGGGCAGACCAUGGUCCAACAAGGAAUCUGGCUCCUACUCAGCUCAUUCAGAAGAUGAACAGCAGGAAUUUCAGUGUGUUUGAAGAGAAAGCAGGGGGCAGUCCAGGAAUGCAGUAUAGGACAACACUGAAACCCAACUUCUUGAGUCAUUAGAAGUAUGAUGAGCUUCUGUCCAAGCACAGGGAUUAAAGUGGGCUGGAGAUAUUUCAGAAUGAGGGUCAAUGGACACAAACCGAAACAGAAAAUUCAACUUAAACAUGGGUUCAACAAAUGUGUGGGAAAAACCCAGGUUAUUUGUAUCAAAGUUGUCCAUGAACACAGGUCACUUUAUUCCACAAUGAGGCAAGUUAAGUUGCAACAGAUUUACAAACAGAGACAAGAUCUUGGCUGCAUGGUAUAAGUGAUUGCUUCCAGGAAUGAACUUUCAGCUUCAUUAUUUUCAAGCAUCAUCCUGAACCAAAUGGGAUAGUAACGCAUUUCUUCUAUGUGGAAUGAAAAAGGAUCUCUCAGCCUAUCUAUACCCAACCACCUGGAAGUUUCCUGACAAAUGAAAAUGCAUCCAAAUGUCAUAAAUAAUAUUAUUUCUGCUAAGGCAACAAACACAACUGCUGUUGAUUUCCUGAGUCUGAACUUGUCCUUUUUGCUUUCUUUAAGUGUUUAUUUCCGAGAUGUGAACCACAAUUUUGAUAAAAAGAAUAUUGAAAUGCUGCUUAAAAUAAAAGAUAUUUCACAAUGUGCUGCAUUAAACAAUGACGGCAUUGUACUGUACCAGAAUGUUUUAAAUGUCAGAAAUGGAUGACUUCGGAAAUGAUGUGCUGCAAAAUUACUGCAAGAUCUCAUAGAAUUAUUACAGACUGACAUGUUAAACAUGCCAAGAAAAGGAUUCUCAUAAACAUUUGCACACAGCCAUAGUUGAAGAAUGAUCCAUUAAUGAUGUUUCCAUAAAAUAUUUUCAUUUCAGCAUUGUUAAAGUGAGAAACGACAGAUGAUAAGAAACUGUACCUUGAGGCGCUUACCUGACUCCCACCAUUUCCUACUUGGCCAGGGUUUUAAAAAACGGACACUGAUUUUGGAAGCCUCCAUUUUCAGGAACAUAUCUUUAGAUGCUUUCAAGAUAUUCAAAGCACCCAACCUUUUAAAAACAGGCCUUUAUGAGUGAUUUCAAAUUCUGCAGCCAAAGAUUGCAAUGCCUGUAACAGCUUUGGGAUGUAUUGGUCUUAUGCAAGACCAUCUAUUGCAUUCUUAUGCAAUUGUCAUCUUUUUUGAAUGAAAAGGAAGAAGCGUUUUUCACAGUAUAUUUUAGAUGUCUGUAUUGAGGCACCUUUCCUCUCAAUUUCAAUUCCUAAUAAAUUUCAAGUGCAGUUUCAUAUCUAUACUCCAAAUUAAAGGUACCCACUUUUAGAGUGAAACAUGGUCAGUUUACCAGAGUAGAAUCAUGUCCAACAGGAACCAACUGAGUGAUUUCUACCCUUCCCAGCUACAUAAUCCAAUAUAUAAUCCAAGAGAGUAACUAGUCUAAGAACAGAGUAGCUAUGAUGACCUGCUUGUCAAAUAAAUGCAAUGCUUAUAUUUCUGAAGGAAAAAGGAAGAAACUUGCAAAUUUACAGGCCACAAAUCCUGUUUGCAGUUAUUCUUAUGUAAAACUGGUGUGAUUCCUCAGCUUAUCUGAAACAGAUACAUAUUUCUGACCAGAUUUCUUAGUUUUCCAGUCAGCUACCUUAUUUACCUUUUCUUUGACAUUUUAUAUACAUAAGAAAAUUAAGGACAAAGGAACUUGAUUAUUCAGGCACAGAGAUUAACUAUGACCAUUUGUUUAAUCUAAAUGGUACCUUGACUUCUUUCUUUGUCUAGGUGUGGGGUAAGACCUCAGACUUUAAGUUAGCCUAUGGCUUUCAAGACAAAAAUAAAUCCAGUGAUUGAACUGUCUCCACGGCAGAGAGGUAAGAGAAUUUCUCAAGGUCAUAGAGGAAUUUUGUGGAAGAAAUGAGAACCAGACAGCAGAUCUUCUUGGCAUUAUCACCCAACACAUCAAACAGGCCCAUGCCUCCUCUGUGGCUUUGUUUAAAGUCGUGGAUAUGAAUUUAUCCAUCUGGGCUUGCUUUCUGGUCUUUCCUUUCUCCAAGUUUCUCUGCAUGGGCUAGUAUUCAGUCCUCACCGUGUGAGGUUUCAGAAAAUUGAUGUGAAGCCUGUCCAAUGGGUCAAACAGCUCUGUACUCUACUCUCCACUGUUCACUGGAAAAUAUGUAUUGGCAUCUCUCUUGAGCCUAUGCAAUUCAAAAAAAAAAAAAAAAAGAUAAGUUCUUACUUAAAGAGUCAUAAUUCACUUCACUGGCUAAAAUGUGUUUUCUGACUCACAACGAGGGGAACUUUUUUCAUCAUAGGAGUCCCUUGUUGUGAUAUCUGUAGUCUGUCACACAAGAAAUUUGCAUAGAGAAAAUGGACAUAUGAAGAAACUUGGAACAUAGCAUCCAGGGGAAACCAAGCUUAUUUAGAGAAGAUUGCUUUGAUUGACAGACACUUGGUUAGUUCAUGAGAAAUCGCCAUUUUCUACAGCAAGCAGACCUUAACAAGAGUGUCUCCAGCUGAAAAACGUCCAGUAAGCCCCAUUCCCCACUGCAUGGUUGCUAACACACGACAGAUCCAUGUCAUGAAUGAGCACCACUUCAUCCUGUUAUGAAACACAGCCACAGGCAGCUGAACAACAAAUUACCUGAGGGCACCAAUACAUGGAAAAUACAUUGCAAAUGCAAAAGUAGACCACACACCCCACAUGUUUAAAUUCUCAUUCUUAUAAACUGGAAAUCCUGUUUUCUUUCCAUGCAGCCAUGGUAAUGGCUCACCAGACAAAUCCACUACUUAAAAUACUGCACAAACUUCUACCUAAGUAUGUAUUUCUUUCCUAUUCUAUCUACCUAUCAUUUUUUCAUCUCAUCACCUUUCUAAUGUAAUAAUUUUAUUCACACACUAUUAUAGACCUUUGAGUGUUGGGUACCCCAUGAGAAGCGGGCAGGCUAAUUAAAAGAGAAUUCACCUUCCA